rnacentral:tRNA from 1 species
GCGGUGGAGGGCUCGAGGGUGAGCCGCCGUGUUUCCUUCACGGAGGGGCAGGUUCGACUCCUGCCCACCGCUCCA